GAUUGAAACUAAAUAUUACCAAUUACCAAAAACAUAUGAUAUGUGUAAAUAAUACAAUUAAGAUAUUGAAGUAGACUUGAAAAUAUUAUCUCAUUGUUCAACAUUACAAAGUUUAUUUUGCAGAUUAAUUUAAUUGUUUGAUUUAUAUGUUUUGCAUUGUUAAUGUAUUUUGCCUGUGGUGCAUCUAAAAUAUGUGCAAUAUAUUUAUUAAAGUCUUUUAUAAUACC
rnacentral:lncRNA from 1 species